rnacentral:lncRNA from 1 species
GAGACCAAGCGUGGCUUUGAUUCUGGCGCCUGCGUGUCAGCAGCGCGGCGUGGCCGGGAAAGCUGGGCCCCGCUCUGGGGGUCCCCCUGAUGGGCCUGAGAGGAAAACGCUUUGAAAUUGAUGGGAGCUGGGAAAGCCACUGAGAGGGACGUCCUCCCCUUGAGGCUGGAUGCUACCCUGCACCCUUGAAACUAGAAAACCUGGUUGGAGUCUGCAAACCGCGAUGCAGGAUGUGGGCACCGAGAAAAAGCAAGAGAUCCCAGUCAGGACUUCGUUGGCCCAAACCACGGUCUGCAUCUUGAAAUCCAUCCAGGCAAGUUGGAGUAGAAACCUGAUGGAGAGACCAUGGAGGACUGCUGCUUAUUGGCUUGUCUCCCAUGGCUUGCUCAGCUGGCUUUCUUACAGCAUCCAGGACCAGCAGCCCAGGGGUGACAGAGUGAGCUGGUGCCACAGAGAGCUGGGCCCUCCCACUUCAAUCAUCAAUCAAGAAUGGAGAACAGGGGCUGGAGAGAUGGCUCAGCGGUUAAGAGCACUGACCGCUCUUCUGAAGGUCCUGAGUUCAAACCCCAGCAACCACAUGGUGGCUCACACCAUCUGUCAUGAGAUCUGAUACCCUCUUCUGGGGUGUCUGAAGACAGCUACAGUGUACUUACAUAUAAUAAAUGUUAAAAAAAAAAAAAAA